rfam:Rattus norvegicus chromosome 7, whole genome shotgun sequence.
GGGGAUUUAGCUCAGUGGUAGAGUGCUUGCCUAGCAAGCACAAGGUCCUGGGUUCGGUCCCCAGCUCCG